rnacentral:rRNA from 1 species
CAAGAGCGUAUAUUAAAGUUGUUGCAGUUAAAAAGCUCGUAGUUGGAUUUCUGGUACAAUGCGCCUGGCCCGCGGCGGUUACGUCUGUGAGUGCCGGUGCGCGUUUGCCAUCCUUCUAGAAAACGUUUCUACCCUUCACUGGGCCGGACUCGCGAUCUAGAUCUUUACUUGAAAAAUUAGAGUGUUUAAAGCAGGCAAUUGCUGUGAAUACAUUAGCAUGGAAUAAUAAUCUAGGACUUCGGUUCUAUUUUGUUGGUUUCUAGUACUGAAGUAAUGAUUGAUAGGGACAGUUGGGGGCAUUAGUAUUUAAUUGUCAGAGGUGAAAUUCUUGGAUUUAUGAAAGACUAACUACUGCGAAAGCAUUUGCCAAGGAUGUUUUUCAUUAAUCAAGAACGAAAGUUAGGGGAUCGAAGAUGAUUAGAU